rnacentral:misc_RNA from 1 species
GGACAUCAUCAAUUCAGCAAACCUUGUGGUAUCAGCACCACGAGCACGCGUCUUCUUAAAAUUCAUCCCGUGAUCACGGAGCAACUCAAUGGAUUCCGGUGCAUGAUCAUCAUGCAACACAUCAAAAUCACGGAAGUUGAACUCCCAGAUGAAACCAUAACCACAGCCAAAGUCCGGCAGGUUACCGUACACAUCAGUCAGAGUGAUACCCACCUGAAUCAGCUUAAGAGCAUCAACAUUCGAUUUCAGAUUGUUGUAGAGCUCAAUUGGGUUCUUAGCACGUAUAUCCGACCGAUAUAUCAGACCAGGGAACUCUGUAUCCAUUGAAACAAAAGGAAAACGGUCGACCAAGCCACGGAUCAACGAAAACUCAGACUCCAGAUUGUUCGCCCAAACCGAACGGACGAAAACAGGUUUUUUCCCGGCGGCGAACGGUGGAGGUGGUGGGGUGACAAUGCCGGAGAAAGCCAUGAUCGAGAUGAUCAAAAAGCUAAGUGAAUUGGGG